AACUAGAAAUAGCCCAAAAAAUACUCCAAAUUACUACCCCAAUAACAUUAAAUAAAUCAUUUAUGAAAUUAAAGUAUAGGUGAUAGAAAUUCUAUUUGACGCUAUAGAAAUAGUACCGCAAGGGAAAAAAUGAAAGAAACCUGUAAGUUAAAAACAGCAAAGCUUAAUCCUUGUACCUUUUGCAUAAUGACUCAACUAGAAAAUAUUUGCAAAAAGAAUUUAAGUUAAUCUACCCGAAACCAGACGAGCUAUCCUCUAGCAGUUCAACAGGACAAACUCAUCUAUGUGGCAAAAUAGCGAGAAGACUAGGAGAUAGUGGUGAAAAGCCUAUCGAGCCUGGUGAUAGCUGGUUGUCCAGAAUAGAACUUUAGUUCUAAUUUAAGCUUACUAUAAGACAAACAAAUUAAAAUGUAAACUUAAAUGUUAGUCUAAAAGGGUACAGCCUUUUAGACACAGGAUACAACCUUUAUUAGAGAGGAAAUAGAUAAAUAAACUAUCCCAGUUGGCCUAAAAGCAGCCAUCAAACAAGAAAGCGUUCAAGCUCAAUAGUAUAAAAACACUAAUUUCAUUUAUUCAAGAGCACUCCUAAUAUAAAACUGGACCAUUCUAUUCUCUAAAUAGAAGAAAUAAUGUUGAUACAAGUAACAAGAACCAUUUCUCCCCGCACAAGUGUAUAUCAGAACGAAUCCAUCACUGAUAAUUACCAAAAGAACAUAACCAAAUAAUUAAACUUUCUAAUUCAAAUGUUAGCCCAACACAGGAGUGCAAGUAGGGAAAGAUUAAAAGAAGUAAAAGGAACUCGGCAAACACAAAUCCCGCCUGUUUACCAAAAACAUCACCUCUAGCAUGAAAAAUAUUAGAGGCAAUGCCUGCCCAGUGACAUUAGUUUAACGGCCGCGGUAUCCUGACCGUGCAAAGGUAGCAUAAUCACUUGUUCUCUAAAUAAGGACUUGUAUGAAUGGCUUCACGAGGAUUUUACUGUCUCUUACUUCUAAUCAGUGAAACUGACUUUCCCGUGAAGAGGCGGGAAUUAACAAAUAAGACGAGAAGACCCUAUGGAGCUUUAAUUAAUUAACUCACAAGUGAUAAUACUAUCCUAUAAAGGACUAAAAUUUCACAAACUGAGCUAACAAUUUAGGUUGGGGUGACCUCGGAAUAAAGAAUAACUUCCGAGAAAUUUAAUUAAGACAUACAAGUCAAAAUUACUUCAUAUCAUAUUGAUCCGUCAAAGACGACCAACGGAACAAGUUACCCUAGGGAUAACAGCGCAAUCCUAUUUAAGAGUCCAUAUCGACAAUUAGGGUUUACGACCUCGAUGUUGGAUCAGGACAUCCCAAUGGUGCAGCAGCUAUUAAUGUGUUCGUUUGUUCAACGAUUAAAGUCCUACGUGAUCUGAGUUCAGACCGGAGUAAUCCAGGUCGGUUUCUAUCUAUUUUUAAGUCUUUCCCAGUACGAAAGGACAAGAAAGACGAGGUCAACUUAAACUAAGCACCUCCCAAAGCAGAUGAACUAAUCUCAAACUAAUAAAUAUAAAAUACCACCCAAGAAAUAGGGUUUA
rnacentral:rRNA from 1 species